GAUGAACGCUGGCGGCGUGCCUAAUACAUGCAAGUCGAGCGAACAGACGAGGAGCUUGCUCCUCUGACGUUAGCGGCGGACGGGUGAGUAACACGUGGAUAACCUACCUAUAAGACUGGGAUAACUUCGGGAAACCGGAGCUAAUACCGGAUAAUAUAUUGAACCGCAUGGUUCAAUAGUUAAAGACGGUUUUGCUGUCACUUAUAGAUGGAUCCGCGCCGCAUUAGCUAGUUGGUAAGGUAACGGCUUACCAAGGCAACGAUGCGUAGCCGACCUGAGAGGGUGAUCGGCCACACUGGAACUGAGACACGGUCCAGACUCCUACGGGAGGCAGCAGUAGGGAAUCUUCCGCAAUGGGCGAAAGACUGACGGAGAAACGCCGCGUGAGUGAUGAAGGUCUUCGGAUCGUAAAACUCUGUUAUUAGGGAAGAACAAAUGUGUAAGUAACUAUGCACGUCUUGACGGUACCUAAUCAGAAAGCCACGGCUAACUACGUG
rnacentral:rRNA from 1 species